UAGCCUUGGGCUCAAACUCUCCUCAGAGCUGCAAAGUCUCUUACCAUGACAGUUCUCUAAUUAAGUUCCCCUGAGAGGGGGGGGUGUCUUGGGGGCAUCUCAAGAACUGCAAGAAUUCCAGCCCCUUACCUGGGACCCUGCUUCCUCAGUAUCCCUGGACAAGUCCCUUCCCAGGGAUAAGGAAGCCCUACCACCACCAUCCCCAAAGCCCAAGGAGGCAUAGAAACAGAGGCCUUAAGCUUGAGCCCCCCAUCCCCAUGGGUUUGGAUCUAGAAGGUCAUCUAUGUCUUACAGAGCGUGAAGAGCUACUUUCCUAUUUGCUACUGGAUCAGUCAGAAGACGUCCUGGAGGAAGAGACCCCGGGUGCCAGCCUGUGGCCCACCACUGUGACCUUCCUCACCCUCUUCCUGCUCAGCUUGUUCUACAGUACAGCACUGACUGUUACAACUGUGCGAGGCCCGUUUGGCAGCAAAGAGGUCCCCCAGUACUGACCAGGAGCCAGCCACAGCCAUGAAGGAAGUGGAAGAAAAUGAUGGCAGCACUUCCUGGAUUUAACCCAGUCUUCCAGAAGCCAUUUCCUGGAUUUAACCCAGUCUUCCAGAAGCCAUUUCCUGGAUUUAACCCAGUCUUCCAGAAGCCAUUUCCUGAAUUUAAUCAAGUCUUUCAGAAGCCAGGAUGGGACAUCAGCGAAAGUGAAGACAUAACCCAACUCCAGGAUCCCCUCUGGCUGAUGACUCUUGUCUUUGCAGGGAUGAAGCUUGGAGAAAGUCCUCCACGUUUCAGAGCUAAGACUGAUGUGACAACUUCCCAUCCCACUCACAUACUUCCCUAAGCAAUAAAUGGAUGCAAAAGCACAAUUUCUUCCUCUCAAAAACAAACAUUAACAAAGGAUUGGGGGAGGGGUCAGGGAAAGUGUAGUAGUACCAUGCUAAAUAGUUGCUUACAUCGUAGAACGUGGCAGUGUUGGGCAGGGUAGACACAAGGUGCCCACUGUCUAGUGCCUGAGACAUAACUUGAGCAUAUGUGUAGCUGCAACCAACACUGGCUUCAACAAGUAUUUGUGGCCACUUCAGACCCGAUACCAGGUCAUUAGCUUGAUCUCUGGACCUGACUUCUAAAUAUUUGGCCUCUGUGAACAUCCUUGGAAAACAGUGAACACCAAACCCUGGUCCUGGUUGUGAACCUUGGUCCAGAUCACUGAGCCCUAUUUUGGUAACUGAACCAUGAUCCUGACCCCUGACCUCAGUCAUGAUCAUGAAGCCCUGGUCCUGGACACUCAUUCUAAUAGCUGGUCCUUAGUCCUGAGCUCUGAACCUUGAUCUGGGUCACUGAAUCCUGGUCAUGAUCACUGGGUUUGGUUCUCAUCACUAAGCCUAGUCUUGAUCACUGAUGACUGGUUUUGAUCAUUAACAGCCAACCUGAUCACUAGUCCCCGUUCCUAAUCACUAGGCCGUGAUACUGGUCACUGGGUCAUGACCUGAUCAUAGACCCCCGAUCCUGAUCACUAAACCCUGUUUGGAAAUAAUGUGUAGUGAAAUGUAUAGUAAAGCCUUUGAGUGAAAUGUUUCAGCAGAGCCUUUGCUAUGUUUGGGUUAAGCAGUAGAGGCUGAGAAAUGUUUUUGAGGCUGUUUGAACCAUGAAGAAAUGUCACCCUGGACAAUCUGCACAUGAAAGUUUGCAGCUGUGCAGACAUUGGUUCUAAAAGACUCCUGGCAAAGUUAGAAUUCUUACUUUUGACUAUGGCUAGCCAUGGUUGAAAGGGACUAAGAUUUGUGCAGGUGGUCCGCUCUCUCACAGCAGGGCAAGAUAACUUUGGUAGUCGGAACCUUUCCCAGCCCAAAUUAACUCUGUAUAAUGUUUGAAUAAAGUAACUGCAGUAAGCUAA